rnacentral:rRNA from 1 species
AGGUUACUGCUAUCGAGGUUCGACUAAGCCAUGCGAGUCGAAUGCCGCAAGGCAUGGCGUACUGCUCAGUAACACGUGGACAACCUACCCUGAGGACGGGUAUAAACCCGGGAAACUGGGUAUAAUCCCCGAUAGUCCUCGGCUGCUGGAAUGCACCGAGGACGAAAGCUCCGGCGCCUUAGGAUGGGUCUGCGGCCUAUCAGGUAGUAGUGGGUGUAACGUACCUACUAGCCUACGACGGGUACGGGUUGUGAGAGCAAGAGCCCGGAGAUGGAUUCUGAGACACGAAUCCAGGCCCUACGGGGUGCAGCAGGCGCGAAAACUUUACAAUGCUGGCAACAGCGAUAAGGGGACCUCGAGUGCCAGGUUACAAAUCUGGCUGUCGUGAUGCCUAAAAAGCAUUACAUAGCAAGGGCCGGGCAAGACCGGUGCCAGCCGCCGCGGUAACACCGGCGGCUCGAGUGGUAACCGUUAUUAUUGGGUCUAAAGGGUCUGUAGCCGGCCGGAUAAGUCUCUUGGGAAAUCCAGCAGCCUAACUGUUGGGCUUUCAGGAGAUACUAUUCGGCUCGAGGCCGGGAGAGGUGAGAGGUACUUCAGGGGUAGGGGUGAAAUCUUGUAAUCCUUGAAGGACCACCAGUGGCGAAGGCGUCUCACCAGAACGGACCUGACGGCAAGGGACGAAAGCUAGGGGCACGAACCGGAUUAGAUACCCGGGUAGUCCUAGCCGUAAACGAUACUCGCUAGGUGUCGGCCACGGUGCGACCGUUGUCGGUGCCGUAGGGAAGCCGUGAAGCGAGCCACCUGGGAAGUACGGCCGCAAGGCUGAAACUUAAAGGAAUUGGCGGGGGAGCACCACAACGGGUGGAGCUUGCGGUUU